AGUGAACGCUGGGGGUAGGCCUAACACAUGCAAGUCGAACGGCAGCACAGUAAGAGCUUGCUCUUACGGGUGGCGAGUGGCGGACGGGUGAGGAAUACAUCGGAAUCUACUUUUUCGUGGGGGAUAACGUAGGGAAACUUACGCUAAUACCGCAUACGACCUACGGGUGAAAGCAGGGGAUCUUCGGACCUUGCGCGAUUGAAUGAGCCGAUGUCGGAUUAGCUAGUUGGCGGGGUAAAGGCCCACCAAGGCGACGAUCCGUAGCUGGUCUGAGAGGAUGAUCAGCCACACUGGAACUGAGACACGGUCCAGACUCCUACGGGAGGCAGCAGUGGGGAAUAUUGGACAAUGGGCGCAAGCCUGAUCCAGCCAUACCGCGUGGGUGAAGAAGGCCUGCGGGUUGUAAAGCCCUUUUGUUGGGAAAGAAAAGCAGCAGGUUAAUACCCCGCUGUUCUGACGGUACCCAAAGAAUAAGCACCGGCUAACUUCGG
rnacentral:rRNA from 1 species